CCUACGGGUGGCAGCAGUGAGGAAUAUUGGUCAAUGGACGCAAGCCUGAACCAGCCACGCCGCGUGAAGGAAGAAGGCUCUAUGAUUUUUAAACUGCUUUUGUAAGGGAAGAUAAUGACUGUGGUAAACGUAUAUGCAUCGACCAUCUCCGUACCAGCAGCCGCGGUAAGACGGAGGGUGCAAGCGUUACUCGGACUUACUGGGCGUAAGGGGCGCGUAGGCGGUGUGGGAAGUCAGAUGUGAAAUCCUAUGGCUUAACCAUAGAACUGCAGUUGAAACUGGUAUUCUUGAGUAUGGGAGAGGUAGGUGGAAUUCGUGGUGUAGAGGUGAAAUGCGUAGAGAUCACGAAGAAUACCGAUUGCGAAGGCAGCCUGCUAGACCAUAACUGACGCUGAUGCGCGAAAGCGUGGGGAGCAAACAGGAUUAGAUACCCUAGUAGUC
rnacentral:rRNA from 1 species